rnacentral:rRNA from 1 species
AUUGAACGCUGGCGGCAUGCUUUACACAUGCAAGUCGGACGGCAGCACAGAGAAGCUUGCUUCUUGGGUGGCGAGUGGCGAACGGGUGAGUAAUAUAUCGGAACGUACCGAGUAAUGGGGGAUAACUAAUCGAAAGAUUAGCUAAUACCGCAUAUUCUCUGAGGCGGAAAGCAGGGGACCUUCGGGCCUUGCGUUAUUCGAGCGGCCGAUAUCUGAUUAGCUAGUUGGUGGGGUAAAGGCCUACCAAGGCGACGAUCAGUAGCGGGUCGGAGAGGAUGAUCCGCCACACUGGGACUGAGACACGGCCCAGACUCCUACGGGAGGCAGCAGUGGGGAAUUUUGGACAAUGGGCGCAAGCCUGAUCCAGCCAGGCCGCGUGUCUGAAGAAGGCCUUCGGGUUGUAAAGGACUUUUGUCAGGGAAGAAAAGGCUGUUGCUAAUAUCGACAGCUGAUGACGGUACCUGAAGAAUAAGCACCGGCUAACUACGUG